UACGUAGGGGGCAAGCGUUGUCCGGAAUCAUUGGGCGUAAAGCGCGUGUAGGCGGCUCGAUAAGUCUGCUGUGAAAGUCCAGGGCUCAACCCUGGGAUGCCGGUGGAUACUGUCGAGCUCGAGUCCGGAAGAGGAGUGUGGAAUUCCUGGUGUAGCGGUGAAAUGCGUAGAUAUCUGGAGGAAUACCGGUGGCGAAGGCGGCAUCCUGGACCGACAUUGACGCUGAGGCGCGAAAGCCAGGGGAGCAAACGGG
rnacentral:rRNA from 1 species